rnacentral:rRNA from 1 species
GACGAACGCUGGCGGCGUGCUUAACACAUGCCAGUCGAACGGAAAGGCCCUGCUUUUGUGGGGUGCUCGAUUGGCGAACGGGUGAGUAACACGUGAGUAACCUGCCCUUGACUGUGGGAUAACUUCAGGGAACUGGGUCUAAUACCGGAUAGGAGCUCCUGCUGCAUGGUGGGGGUUGGAAAGUUUCGGCGGUUGGGGAUGGACUCGCGGCUUAUCAGCUUGUUGGUGGGGUAGUGGCUUACCAAGGGAUUGACGGGUAGCCGGCCUGAGAGGGUGAUCGGCCACCCUGGAACGGAGCCACGGGCCAGCCUGCAACGGGAGGCACCGGUAGGGAAUCUUCCGCAAUGGGCGAAAGCCUGACGGAGCAACGCCGCGUGAGUGAUGAAGGUCUUCGGAUCGUAAAACUCUGUUAUGAGGGAAGAACAUAUGUGUAAGGAACUGUGCGCAUCUGGACGGUACCUAAUCAGAAAGCCGCGGCUAACUACGUG